rnacentral:rRNA from 1 species
AGCGAACGCUGGCGGCAGGCCUAACACAUGCAAGUCGAGCGGCCGUAGCAAUACGGCAGCGGCAGACGGGAUAGUAACACGUGGGAACGCGCCCUUCGGUUCGGAAUAGCUCAGGGAAACUUGAGCUAAUACCGGAUACGCCCUUACGGGGAAAGAUUUAUUGCCGAAGGAACGGCCCGCGUCGGAUUAGCUAGUUGGUGAGGUAACGGCUCACCAAGGCGACGAUCCGUAGCUGGUCUGAGAGGAUGACCAGCAUCACUGGGACUGAGACACGGCCCAGACUCCUACGGGAGGCAGCAGUGGGGAAUAUUGGACAAUGGGCGCAAGCCUGAUCCAGCCAUGCCGCGUGGAUGAUGAAGGCCCUAGGGUUGUAAAGUCCUUUUAACGGGGAAGAUAAUGACGGUACCCGUAGAAUAAGCCCCGGCUAACUUCGUGCCAGCAGCCGCCGUAA